rnacentral:lncRNA from 1 species
AGGCGUGAAUUCCAGAGAGAGGACAUUGCCCUUAAUUACCAAGAUGCUGAGGGGGACCUGGUUCGGCUGCUGUCAGAUGAGGAUGUGGGACUCAUGGUGAAGCAGGCCCAAGGCCUCCCCUCCCAGAAGCGCCUCUUCCCCUGGAAGCUGCACGUCACCCAGAAGGACAAUUACGGUGUCUACAACACCGUACCCUGAGUCACAGGGACCCAGUGGCAAGGAUGGGUACUCAGCAAAGGACCUUACCUUCCAAGAACAUGAAGACCCUCCAGGAGGCUGGCACAAGAUGCAAACCUCCUGGGCCAGAGUGCCCACUGGACAGGAUUCUACUUAAUUUUUGACACUUUACCUUUGGAUUAAAUAAACCAUUCUGUGUCAAAGG